UCAAUUGGCGCCUAAGCGCCAAUGGAGCACGCCUAGGCGCUCCAAGCUCGCUGGAAAGCCUUUUUAUCUUCCUCUUAACUCCUCUUCAAGCCUCUUUAAGCCUUCCUUCAAUUCCAAGCUUCUUGACCUUCCUUCCCCUUCAGUUUCAAACCUGAUUACUUAAACACAAAGCCAAGGAAAUAUCUAGGAGCUCCAAGAGUCUAUUAGCAAAGAGAACCCUCAAAUAAAAUAGGAAAAUUAUGCAAGUCCUAAACUUACUUAAAAUGCAAGAAAAGUCCCUAUAAGACUAUGAAAUUACCAAAACAAAG
rnacentral:lncRNA from 1 species